rfam:Fukomys damarensis contig147881, whole genome shotgun sequence.
AUGCUCGCUUUGGUAGCACAUACACUAAAAUUAGAACAAUACAGAGACGAUUAGCACAGCCCCUGCCCAGUAAAUGAUACACAGUAACUGCAUUUCCUAUAGUUAGCAUAUAUUU